UGAGUAAUGUCUGGGAAACUGCCUGAUGGAGGGGGAUAACUACUGGAAACGGUAGCUAAUACCGCAUAACGUCGCAAGACCAAAGUGGGGGACCUUCGGGCCUCAUGCCAUCAGAUGUGCCCAGAUGGGAUUAGCUAGUAGGUGAGGUAAUGGCUCACCUAGGCGACGAUCCCUAGCUGGUCUGAGAGGAUGACCAGCCACACUGGAACUGAGACACGGUCCAGACUCCUACGGGAGGCAGCAGUGGGGAAUAUUGCACAAUGGGCGCAAGCCUGAUGCAGCCAUGCCGCGUGUAUGAAGAAGGCCUUCGGGUUGUAAAGUACUUUCAGCGAGGAGGAAGGCGAUAAGGUUAAUAACCUUGUCGAUUGACGUUACUCGCAGAAGAAGCACCGGCUAACUCCGUGCCAGCAGCCGCGGUAAUACGGAGGGUGCAAGCGUUAAUCGGAAUUACUGGGCGUAAAGCGCACGCAGGCGGUCUGUCAAGUCGGAUGUGAAAUCCCCGGG
rnacentral:rRNA from 1 species